AUUGAACGCUGGCGGCAUGCUUUACACAUGCAAGUCGAACGGCAGCGCGGGGCAACCUGGCGGCGAGUGGCGAACGGGUGAGUAAUACAUCGGAACGUACCCAGAAGUGGGGGAUAACGUAGCGAAAGUUACGCUAAUACCGCAUACGUUCUACGGAAGAAAGUGGGGGACCUUCGGGCCUCAUGCUCUUGGAGCGGCCGAUGUCUGAUUAGCUAGUUGGUGAGGUAAAGGCUCACCAAGGCGACGAUCAGUAGCUGGUCUGAGAGGACGACCAGCCACACUGGGACUGAGACACGGCCCAGACUCCUACGGGAGGCAGCAGUGGGGAAUUUUGGACAAUGGGCGCAAGCCUGAUCCAGCAAUGCCGCGUGAGUGAAGAAGGCCUUCGGGUUGUAAAGCUCUUUUGUCAGGGAAGAAACGGCUGAGGAUAAUACCUUCGGCUAAUGACGGUACCUGAAGAAUAAGCACCGGCUAACUACGUG
rnacentral:rRNA from 1 species